AGAACGAACGCUGGCGGCAUGCCUAAUACAUGCAAGUCGAACGAACUCUUCGGAGUUAGUGGCGCACGGGUGCGUAACGCGUGGGAAUCUGCCCCUUGGUUCGGAAUAACAGUUGGAAACGACUGCUAUACCGGAUGAUGACGAAAGUCCAAAGAUUUAUCGCCAAGGGAUGAGCCCGCGUAGGAUUAGCUAGUUGGUGAGGUAAAGGCUCACCAAGGCAACGAUCCUUAGCUGGUCUGAGAGGAUGAUCAGCCACACUGGGACUGAGACACGGCCCAGACUCCUACGGGAGGCAGCAGUGGGGAAUAUGGACAAUGGGCGAAAGCCUGAUCCAGCAACGCCGCGUGAGGGGUGACGGGCCUUCGGGUUGUAAAGCUCUUUUACCCGAGAUGAUAAUGACAGUAUCGGAGAAUAAGCCCGGCUAACUCCGCGCCAGCAGCCGC
rnacentral:rRNA from 1 species